rnacentral:rRNA from 1 species
GAUGAACGCUGGCGGCGUGCCUAAUACAUGCAAGUCGAGCGAACGGACGAGAAGCUUGCUUCUCUGAUGUUAGCGGCGGACGGGUGAGUAACACGUGGAUAACCUACCUAUAAGACUGGGAUAACUUCGUGAAACCGGAGCUAAUAACGGAUAAUAUUUUGAACCGCAUGGUUCAAAAGUGAUAGACGGUCUUGCCGUCACUUAUAGCUGGAUCCGCGCUGCAUUAGCUAGUUGGUAAGGUAACGGCUUACCAAGGCAACGAUGCGUAGCCGACCUGAGAGGGUGAUCGGCCACACUGGAACUGAGACACGGUCCAGACUCCUACGGGAGGCAGCAGUAGGGAAUCUUCCGCAAUGGGCGCAAGCCUGACGGAGCAACGCCGCGUGAGUGAUGAAGGUCUUCGGAUCGUAAAACUCUGUUAUUAGGGAAGAACAUAUGUGUAAGUAACUGUGCACAUCUUGACGGUACCUAAUCAGAAAGCCACGGCUAACUACGUG